ACUCAAAUGAAUUGACGGGGGCCCGCACAAGCGGUGGAGCAUGUGGUUCAAUUCGACGCAACGCGAAGAACCUUACCUGGGUUUGAACUGCAGGUGACAGCCCUGGAAACAGGGUUUUCCUUCGGGACGCCUGUAGAGGUGCUGCAUGGCUGUCGUCAGCUCGUGUCGUGAGAUGUUGGGUUAAGUCCCGCAACGAGCGCAACCCUCGCCCUCUGUUGCCAUCGGAUAAUGCCGGGCACUCUGAGGGGACUGCCCCGGAAAACGGGGAGGAAGGCGGGGAUGACGUCAAGUCAUCAUGGCCUUUAUGCCCAGGGCUACACACGUGCUACAAUGGGCGGUACAAAGGGUUGCGAACCCGCGAGGGGGAGCUAAUCCCAAAAAGCCGCUCUCAGUUCGGAUUGCAGUCUGCAACUCGACUGCAUGAAGUUGGAAUCGCUAGUAAUCGCGGAUCAGCACGCCGCGGUGAAUACGUUCCCGGGCCUUGUACACACCGCCCGU
rnacentral:rRNA from 1 species